AUACGUAGGGGGCGAGCGUUGUCCGGAAUGAUUGGGCGUAAAGGGCGCGUAGGCGGCCCGGUAAGUCUGGAGUGAAAGUCCUGUUUUUAAGAUGGGAAUUGCUUUGGAUACUGUCGGGCUUGAGUGCAGGCGAGGUAAGUGGAAUUCCCAGUGUAGCGGUGAAAUGCGUAGAGAUUGGGAGGAACACCAGUGGCGAAGGCGACUUACUGGACUGUAACUGACGCUGAGGCGCGAAAGUGUGGGGAGCAAACAGGAUUAGAUACCCUGGUAGUCCACACUGUAAACGAUGAAUGCUAGGUGUAGGGGGUAUCGACCCCUUCUGUGCCGCAGUCAACACAAUAAGCAUUCCGCCUGGGGAGUACGGCCGCAAGGUUGAAACUCAAAGGAAUUGACGGGG
rnacentral:rRNA from 1 species